rnacentral:tRNA from 1 species
GGAGGCAUAGCUCAGUUGGUUAGAGUACAUGCUUGACAUGCAUGGGGUCGUUGGUUCAACUCCAACUGUCUCCACCA